AUGAACGCUGGCGGCGUGCCUAAUACCUGCAAGUCGAGCGAACAGACGAGGAGCUUGCUCCUCUGACGUUAGCGGCGGACGGGUGAGUAACACGUGGAUAACCUACCUAUAAGACUGGGAUAACUUCGGGAAACCGGAGCUAAUACCGGAUAAUAUAUUGAACCGCAUGGUUCAAUAGUGAAAGACGGUUUUGCUGUCACUUAUAGAUGGAUCCGCGCCGCAUUAGCUAGUUGGUAAGGUAACGGCUUACCAAGGCGACGAUGCGUAGCCGACCUGAGAGGGUGAUCGGCCACACUGGAACUGAGACACGGUCCAGACUCCUACGGGAGGCAGCAGUAGGGAAUCUUCCGCAAUGGGCGAAAGCCUGACGGAGCAACGCUGCGUGAGUGAUGAAGGUCUUCGGAUCGUAAAACUCUGUUAUUAGGGAAGAACAAAUGUGUAAGUAACUAUGCACGUCUUGACGGUACCUAAUCAGAAAGCCACGGCUAACUACGUG
rnacentral:rRNA from 1 species